rnacentral:rRNA from 14 species
CGCCGAAAGUCCAAGGGUUCCUGCUUAAAGCUAAUCUGAGCAGGGUAAGCCGACCCCUAAGCCGAGGGCGAAAGCCGUAGGCGAUGGGAACUAGGUUAAUAUUCCUAGGCCAGGAGGAUGUGACGGAUCAUGAAGGUUGUUCACCCUUAUCGGAUUGGGUGGGCCGCUGAUUGGUUCCUGGAAAUAGCCCUCCAUCAGACCGUACCCUAAACCGACACAGGUGGACUGGUAGAGAAUACCAAGGCGCUUGAGAGAACGAUGUUGAAGGAACUCGGCAAAAUACCUCCGUAAGUUCGCGAGAAGGAGGCCCGGUACACGACUACCGGGGGCACAAACCAGGGGGUGGCGACUGUUUAUUAAAAACACAGGGCUCUGCGAAGUCGCAAGACGACGUAUAGGGUCUGACGCCUGCCCGGUGCCUGAAGGUUAAAAGGAGGGGUGCAAGCUCCGAAUUGAAGCCCAGGUAAACGGCGGCCGUAACGAUAACGGUCCUAAGGUAGCGAAAUUCCUUGUCGGGUAAGUUCCGACCUGCACGAAUGGCGUAACGAUGGGGGCGCUGUCUCUACCCGAGACUCAGUGAAAUCGAAAUCGCCGUGAAGAUGCGGUGUAUCCGCGGCUAGACGGAAAGACCCCGUGAACCUUUACUACAGCUUGGCACUGAACAUUGACCCUACAUGUGUAGGAUAGGUGGGAGGCUUUGAAGCGUUGUCG